AUGGAUAUUCAUCCAGAGUUCCGCACCAAGCGGAAAAUCAAAAGAAGAAGACAAUUCGAUGAGGGUGCAGAUGAUGUAUCUAUUGCUUCACAAUCUGCAGAGGAGUCAUUUAGGGUCAAUUAUUUUCUGCAAGUGGUUGAUCAAGCUAUAGUUUCACUUACCAGGAGGUUUGAGCAAUAUCAGGGGUAUGAAAAAACUUUUGGUUUCUUAUUUACUUCAGAUAGGCUGCGAUCUAUGGAUGAUAAGAGUUUCCUGGCUGCUUGUGUUAAUCUUGAGGAUGCACUUAAGAGUGGAGAACACAAAGACAUUGAUGGAGCUGAAUUGUUUUACGAGUUAAUUUUCAUCUAG
rnacentral:rRNA from 1 species